rnacentral:rRNA from 2 species
AAAUUGAAGAGUUUGAUCAUGGCUCAGAUUGAACGCUGGCGGCAGGCCUAACACAUGCAAGUCGAACGGUAACAGGAAGCAGCUUGCUGCUUUGCUGACGAGUGGCGGACGGGUGAGUAAUGUCUGGGAAACUGCCUGAUGGAGGGGGAUAACUACUGGAAACGGUGGCUAAUACCGCAUAACGUCGCAAGACCAAAGAGGGGGACCUUCGGGCCUCUUGCCAUCAGAUGUGCCCAGAUGGGAUUAGCUUGUUGGUGAGGUAACGGCUCACCAAGGCGACGAUCCCUAGCUGGUCUGAGAGGAUGACCAGCCACACUGGAACUGAGACACGGUCCAGACUCCUACGGGAGGCAGCAGUGGGGAAUAUUGCACAAUGGGCGCAAGCCUGAUGCAGCCAUGCCGCGUGUAUGAAGAAGGCCUUCGGGUUGUAAAGUACUUUCAGCGGGGAGGAAGGUGUUGUGGUUAAUAACCGCAGCAAUUGACGUUACCCGCAGAAGAAGCACCGGCUAACUCCGUGCCAGCAGCCGCGGUAAUACGGAGGGUGCAAGCGUUAAUCGGAAUUACUGGGCGUAAAGCGCACGCAGGCGGUCUGUCAAGUCGGAUGUGAAAUCCCCGGGCUCAACCUGGGAACUGCAUUCGAAACUGGCAGGCUUGAGUCUUGUAGAGGGGGGUAGAAUUCCAGGUGUAGCGGUGAAAUGCGUAGAGAUCUGGAGGAAUACCGGUGGCGAAGGCGGCCCCCUGGACAAAGACUGACGCUCAGGUGCGAAAGCGUGGGGAGCAAACAGGAUUAGAUACCCUGGUAGUCCACGCCGUAAACGAUGUCUACUUGGAGGUUGUGCCCUUGAGGCGUGGCUUCCGGAGCUAACGCGUUAAGUAGACCGCCUGGGGAGUACGGCCGCAAGGUUAAAACUCAAAUGAAUUGACGGGGGCCCGCACAAGCGGUGGAGCAUGUGGUUUAAUUCGAUGCAACGCGAAGAACCUUACCUGGUCUUGACAUCCACAGAACUUUCCAGAGAUGGACUGGUGCCUUCGGGAACCGUGAGACAGGUGCUGCAUGGCUGUCGUCAGCUCGUGUUGUGAAAUGUUGGGUUAAGUCCCGCAACGAGCGCAACCCUUAUCCUUUGUUGCCAGCGAUUAGGUCGGGAACUCAAAGGAGACUGCCAGUGAUAAACUGGAGGAAGGUGGGGAUGACGUCAAGUCAUCAUGGCCCUUACGACCAGGGCUACACACGUGCUACAAUGGCGCAUACAAAGAGAAGCGACCUCGCGAGAGCAAGCGGACCUCAUAAAGUGCGUCGUAGUCCGGAUUGGAGUCUGCAACUCGACUCCAUGAAGUCGGAAUCGCUAGUAAUCGUGGAUCAGAAUGCCACGGUGAAUACGUUCCCGGGCCUUGUACACACCGCCCGUCACACCAUGGGAGUGGGUUGCAAAAGAAGUAGGUAGCUUAACCUUCGGGAGAGCGCUUACCACUUUGUGAUUCAUGACUGGGGUGAAGUCGUAACAAGGUAACCGUAGGGGAACCUGCGGUUGGAUCACCUCCUUA